CGAACGCUGGCGGCAGGCCUAAUACAUGCAAGUCGAACGGCUCUUCGGAGCAGUGGCGGACGGGUGAGUAACGCGUGGGAAUGUGCCCUUUGGUACGGAACAACACAGGGAAACUUGUGCUAAUACCGUAUGUGCCCUUCGGGGGAAAGAUUUAUCGCCAUUGGAGCAGCCCGCGUUGGAUUAGGUAGUUGGUGAGGUAAAGGCUCACCAAGCCUACGAUCCAUAGCUGGUCUGAGAGGAUGAUCAGCCACACUGGGGCUGAGACACGGCCCAGACUCCUACGGGAGGCAGCAGUAGGGAAUCUUGCGCAAUGGGCGAAAGCCUGACGCAGCCAUGCCGCGUGAAUGAUGAAGGUCUUAGGAUUGUAAAAUUCUUUCACCGGGGAAGAUAAUGACGGUACCCGGAGAAGAAGCCCCGGCUAACUUCGUGCCAGCCGCCGCGGUAAUAC
rnacentral:rRNA from 1 species